CCUACGGGUGGCAGCAGUGAGGAAUAUUGGUCAAUGGGCGAGAGCCUGAACCAGCCAAGUCGCGUGAGGGAGUACUGCCCUAUGGGUUGUAAACCUCUUUUGUCGGGGAGCAAAAGCCGGACGUGUCAGGCUGUGAGAAUACCCGAAGAAAAAGCAUCGGCUAACUCCGGGACAGCAGCCGCGGUAAUACGGUGGAUGCGAGCGUUAUCCGGAUUUAUUGGAGUAAAAGGGUGCGCAGGCGGAUUUUGAAGUCAGCGGGAAAAUCGUGGGGCUAAACCCCAUCCAGCCGAUGAAACUGGGGGACUAGAGUGUGCGAGAGGGAGGCGGAAUGCGUGGUGUAGCGGUGAAAUGCGUAGAUAUCACGCAGAACACUGGUGGCGAAGGCAGCAUACCGGUGAACAACUGACGCUGAGGCACGAAAGCGUGGGUAGCGAACAGGAUUAGAUACCCUUGUAGUC
rnacentral:rRNA from 1 species